AUGUUUAAUAACAGGUAAUCGCACCACGUGCUCAGUUCUUAGUUAACCUAUUAACACAGGAAAAAAGAAGAAGCGUAAUGUUCGGGAAUGAUGACGGGGCUCAGAUCUGUGAUUCCACAAAAGAUAUAAAAUUUGAAGCCAAAAGCAAGUACUUAAAAAUGUAGAGCCAUAAUCUCCGAUCCUUUUGGAGAUAAUAACAUAGGAGAGAAAUACCUCGACAAUCGAAUUGCAGUAUAUAAGGUUCUGAUGAUCAAAUGGAACUCUUUAUGCGAGGAAGAUGCGCCAGUGCUUGUUGAGCACGCUAUGUUGUUCACCCAUCUCCUGGAAAUAGAUCUUGGUCCAUAGCAGGAGAACCGCCGGCCCGAAAAACUAAUCCAAAGUAUCCUUGGGCUUAAAAUCAGC
rnacentral:lncRNA from 1 species